CUACUUCCGGUUCGGAAUUAUUGAUUUCGUUUUCGCUUUGCUUUUCCGACGUGGCCACACACUGGUCGCUUCAUUCCUCUACCCAAGUUCGAAUUGGGCGGAUCGAAGCGUCGACACAGGACGUCCGUCCGAACUUGACUAGACUUAGACAUCGUUUGUGACCUUUUCGUGCGCGGAUCAUCUCGCCUCAGUACACGUCGAAGCUUCUCUAGCUGCUAGUUUCUCUUAUUUUAGCUAGCUAGCUAGCUAGCUAGCUAGCUAACCGCUUACAAAGAAAGACGUUCGCCUCGACGCAUAGGCAAGGGAAGAUCAAGUGAGUGGAAAGGGUUGGAUCGUUGUGUGAAAAUGUGUUCAAGAGGGCCCGCGCAGUGCGAGGAGGGAACAAAGGAGCGGCGAGGUCAACUGCCCGACGACGCCGUUUUCAACGAGACUCCACUUGUGGUCCACGCAGCAGAUGUCACGGAAGGAGCUCUCGGUUCUUGGCAGCGGCGGCAGCUGCAGUCACUCCACAUCAAGCAGGAGGAGUGGCCCAAGCCGUGUCACAUUAAAGAGGAGGAGGAGGAGGAGGAGGAGCAGGAGGAUGAAAUCACCACGUUUCAGUUGACUGACGUCAGUGUGAAGUUUGAGGAAGCAGACGUGGGUGAAGAAGAUCUUGAGCAGAAGCCGUGGAGCUCCUCCAUGAUGCAGCAGCGGGAAGCAGAGCCCCCAAACAUGAAAGAAGAAGGGCAGGAGGAGGACGUCCCCGGCUUUCCUUUGACCGUUAUCGUGAAGAGCGACGACGACGACCCCGCGGGAGGUCGCCAAUCGGACAGCCUCGUAGCGCCACGCUCGGAGAGUGACGACGCCACGUCGCGCUCCCGGGACACUGACGAUGAUGCUCAACGCGCAAAAGGUGAUCUGUGGAGUCGCGCUGACAAAAAACACGUCAAAUGUUCACAAUGUGACAAAAGCUUUGAUCGAAAGUCACUCUUGAUAAGACACACAAGAAGCCACACGGGAGAAAAACCUUUUGCCUGCUCGCUUUGCGCCAAGGGAUUCUCGUUGAAGACCAAUUUAACGAUGCACGUAAGGACACACACCGGGGAAAAACCCUUUGCCUGCUUCGUGUGUGGUAAAAGAUUUGCUAAAAACACCAAUUUAACCAUUCACACGAGAACACACACUGGAGAGAAACCUUUUGCGUGCUCCUUUUGUGGGAAAAGAUUCACUCAGAAGGGAGAUUUGACAAUGCAUACCAGAACGCACACGGGAGAAAAGCCUUUUGGCUGCUCCGCAUGCGGCAAACGAUUUACGGAGAAGAAAAAUCUAACCACGCACGCUCGAACGCACACUGGUGAGAAACCGUUCAAGUGCAGCGUGUGUGACAAAAGCUUUUAUGUCAAGCGCGAGGUGAAGCGACACAGGUGUGCCGGUGAGAAGAGCGACGCUCGCUCAAGCUCUUGAGCCAACGCAAGGAAAGAAAGCUUUUCCAUCAAUAAACUGGGCGAGUGAAGAAGCGCGUGCACGGUGGCGUGCGACUGAGUCACUUCUGUCAAAAGUCGACUCCAGGUCAUCUGGUGACUUCCUUGAACGCUUCCUGUUUAGCACUCAAGUGAGCUGCCACUUCAGCGUGUGUGUGAGCGUGUGCGUGGGGGUUGUGUGUCACCGUGUGUGUGUGUGUGUGUGUGUGUCCAAAAUUCAUCCCGACAACCACAAAGAGGUAUUUGCUGUCACAUGUUGAAAUGAUUUUGGUGUGUGCAGAUUUCCUACAAAGUGAAACAUCCAUUUUAGUGAUGGAAAAAAAAGAAGCACUUCCACCCAAUCUUCAGUCAUGAAUGAACCGCAGCGAAUUGGACGUAUGGAAAAGCUGAGUUCCUUCUCUCGGAUUGCAAUCAAGUCAGCAGUCCGACUCCAGGCGAGCAUGGCAAAACGUCCGGAAGUGGCGAGCCUUCCCAGCAGGGCGAAGCAUCUUCCAGGAGGAAGCCGGCCAGCCAGCCGGCCAGCCAGCCAGCCAGGACAAGAACCACUGUGAGCAAAAAGAACAGAAAGGCGACCGACCGCUCUAUUCUUCGGACCGAUGAGUCCAAUGUUGACCUUUUGACAAGGCGUCUCAAUAGUUACAAGUGGCACAAGAAAACCAAUAUUGAGCGUCAAAACUCGGUGACAAUUGUCAAGGUAUUUCUUUAUUUUCGUUUGGACUUUUCUUGGCCUGCUGGGGCUUACAGUCGGGGAUAUUUGUCAACAAACGGCGUGAAGCCUUUGGAGCCCUUUUUUUAUUCCCUGUGACAGAGGCCGACAGAAAUCCGCUGCACUUGACCUGAGAGAGAACCGCAGGCCUCGCUCACGCUGAAUCCAAGACGGACGGACGGACACUUGAGAGCGGUAAAGGUUGGACCCUUACGAUGCUUUCUACUUUCAAAUGUACACUCAAUGACAAGACAAUUGCCGCCUUCUCGCAAAAUAGCUAUUUGCUUUUUGCAUUCAUUUCAUGCAUUUUUCAGUCAAACUGUUUAUUGCUUCUGUUGCACGUUAGGUAAAGCUGGUAGCAGUACAAGAGGGAGGGAGGGAGGCAGGGAGGGGCAACAUUGAGGUUUCCAACAUUCCACACGCAGCACACCCGGCAGGUCAAAGCAUUCUCUAGCGCGUGUGUGUUGGUGUGUGCUUUGUUAACUCGUCUCUUCGAGUGAAUAUUUGACCGCAGAUUGAGCAGACAAAAGGUUUCUCCCCAGUGUGAACUUUGCUGUGUAUUGUCAAAUGUCCCUGAUAAGGAAAGCUGUUGCCGCAAACUGUGCAUGCGUAAGGUUUCUCCCCAAUGUGUGUUUUUAGGUGUUCUCUCAAAUCUCUUGUUACCGAGAAACUUUGACCACAAAUAGUGCAUGCAUAAGGUUUCUCACCCGUGUGACUUCUCAUGUGGACUGUCAGUUGACUCUUAUGAGAGAAUCUUUGACUGCAAAGCGAGCAGGCAAAAGGCUUUUCUCCAGUGUGUGUUCUUGAGUGUAUAGUUAAGUUGCCCUUCUGGGAGAAUCUUUGACCACAGUCCGAGCAGGCCAAGGGUUUCUCCCCACUGUGUAUUCUCGCAUGAUUUCUCAAGUCUCUCUUUACGGAGAAUGUUUGACCGCAAACUGAGCAGGCAAAAGGUUUCUGUCCGGUGUGUGUUAUUGUGUGUUUUGUCAAGUGACUUUUAUAGGAGAAUCUUUGAUGACAAACUAAGCAGGCAAAAGGUUUCUCGCCAGUGUGUAUUCUCACGUGUCGUUUCAAAACCCACCUGUCAGCAAACGUUUUACCGCACUGACGACAUUUGCAGCGCUUGUUGCCAGUGUCAACUGUCACAUCAGCGUCAGACUCAUCAUCGUCGUCGUCAUCAUCAUCGUCGCACCCCGAUAGUGGAGCCGAGAGGCCGUCUGCCUGUGACGCUCCAUCGCCCUCUGCUGUCACUUGUUGACUUGAGCUGCCGCCGCCGCCGCCGCCGCCGCUUGGAGGCUCCGUCCCUCUGCUCUCCCCACUCUGAACUUCACCACCUUCACUCUUCAGAGGGUCAAAGGUGAAUGGCCAAGCGGUGAGAUGCUCCUCCUCCUCCUCCUCUUUGACGUGCUCCUCUUCCUCCCCUUUCAUGCCAGGAGACUGCAGCAGGUCUUCCGCUUGAUUGUGGGGGGCCUCUUCAUCUUCUGCUUCAGGCAAAAAGGUUUUCGGCCCGUGCUCUGGAUCACCUUCUUCACUCUUGACGAUGACAUGGGUCAAGGGAAAGGCGCUGAUAUCCCCCUGCCGUUUGUCGUCUUCCGUGAUGCCAGGCGGGUCGGGCUCCCGCCGCUCGACAUGAAGAUCCUCCUCGUCGGUGAAGUCUGCAGGAUGCAAGAAGACCAUUGCCGAGGCUUUAAACACGCACUUGUGUCUGGCAGAUCCAACUGAGCCAGUGACAUUUUGAAUCGGGCCGGACGAGCCGUAUCAAGUCAAAGUCAUUUGCCAGGUGGACAUCAUUCAAAAUUGGAAAUGAAGCUACGCCGCUUUGUGAAUCCGUCUGGACGGGCAACAGACAAAGUCCACACGGCCCCUCUUUUUCUCCCAACACCAUUGUCAAUGGUUACAAAGGAGUUGGUGAGCGUUUAGCUGUAGCAGCCCACUUCCAGGCAAUCAAACCAAACACAAUGUGGACAUGGAAUCGGGGAAGCUCCGUGUUAUUGGACGCUCCCGGCCGGCUGUGGAUUUCCUCUAAAUGCCCUGUUUGACGAAUCUGUGUGGAAUGAACCACCUCCAAACCCAAGGAAGGACAUUUGACCUCUCUCUACGCGGUAGGACACAGCACGACACGACACGACCGUGCACUCGGUCGACUAUUCGCACACUUUGACACGUACUCAUCAGGUGAUUUGGAAGCUUGCACGUUUUUCACAUUUCCCAGUCGUUCGCCUUCCGAGUCAAGGCAAGCUACCGCUGGAGUACACAAUCUUUUGUAAAGGCAAAACGCGCUCAGUCAUCAUGAUGGAAAACAGAAAGGAGUAAGUCAAGUGACGCAACCUUUGCGGUGGAACGCAACUCGAGGCUUCUUGCAAACACCAUCCGGUUGUUGACCUUUUCGCCUGUUCCUUGUUGUGGUUUCACAAACUUCUUCCUCGUAAUCUUCUUCUUUGACGCGUUUAGCACACAUUUUACACGACAAUCAACAACACUUGACACUCGCAGACAGUCUCGCUAACACGCCCGUCCGUCCGUCCGUCCGUCUCUUUGUUAGCGGCAAGCGAGCUAAGCUAAGCUAAGCUCUCGGGACGUUUCAACGUGCGCUGCUGACACGAGUUGAGACUGAUUCAAGUAACGAUCAUGAUAUCUGUCUUUGUAUAUUACGUCAAGUAGUGAUGGAAGUCCUGUGUCGCGUUUCUAGUAUGUUCCAAAA